GCUGUCAAAAGAUCCCCACCUGGGGUGAGAUAAAUCAGGCAGCGUGGGAGGACACUGGACAGACCUAAAUGUUUAAUGAUGGUGUGUUGGGAAUACUUAGUAGAGGCAUCUUCAACUCUCACCUACGGCAGAGCUUUGACAGGAGUCUGUACGACACUGAGGACAUUGAGACUGACUGGACCAUGUUCAGCACCUUCAUCACUGAAGCUGCAUUGAGCUGUGGCUGUAAGAUGGUUGGUGCCCUUUUGUGGUGGUAACUGCUGAACCAUAUGGACACCGGAGGUGAAGGGAGCCACCAGGCUGUAGAAGAAUUCCUAUUGGGUUGGGGUAGCCUGUGGGACCUCGGAGGCAGCCAGAGGGCACUGAUUGGCCAAGUGGAAUGUGUAGCACUCAUUUUUAACAUAAAUGGUCAUUCACAUAAUUUGUAUUCUGUGCCAUUUUUUUCAUGUCACUGUUAUAAUGAAGUACUUUGUCAUGUAGCUUUUCAUCUGUCAUACAUUUUUUUUUUUGUUUUUUAUUAUUGCUUUGUUGUGUAGUGUCAUCAUGUUUUUGUGAGGGUUUGCUCUUUUUGUAGGGUGGCUACAGUCCGGCUUUCCUCUACAACCGACUCAGAUGAAAUUCUCUUCAUUUGCACCAGUGACUGUAAAAAAACCUAGAUGACCUAAUAGCUCCCAAAGAAUGAAGCCAGUCUAUAUCGCCACCCGGUGUCUCGCUGCAGCAUAGGUCAAACACCCGCCUUCUUCAUGAUAGCAGAUGGGACUGGAGCCAGACUAAAGUAAAAAAAUUCUCCUCAGAUAAAUUUUCCUAAAGAUUAUUUCAUUCAUUAUCAGCAGUUCCCAUGAUGCAUAUUUGUCCUCAAGGGCUCUCCUUUAUCACAUGUUUGAUUCUAAUUACUAGCAUAAUGCUGUUAAAUUGGGCUGUGACGUCAGCUUUAACUGGCAGCUGCAGUCACAGAGAAACUUGAGCCUUUCUGUUUGGGAAUAGCAGAUAGAGCGGGGACGCUGAGAGGAGGUCCAGUGUUUAUGUUACAAAACCACGACCGACUGUUUCAACCUGACAGCCUGAGGUGUUCUUCAAUAAACUGGGCUGAAUAUGUGCAAACAGCAGCAUGUUUUCUGUCUCUUGCCACAACUGUA
ensembl:lncRNA